rnacentral:misc_RNA from 1 species
AGAGAGAGAGAGAGAGAGUUAUUUCCUAUUAUUAAGUUCGUAUAUAUCACAUACAAUAGUUAUGGUAUUUAUUCUCUAAUCCUUGACUACAAUGACUAUUAUUCGGUUACCUUUAACUAAUCACUUUAAUUGUUCCCUCCAUUUUCACAUCUGAUGAUCCACAUGACUCCAACUCAGCAAUCCUUUGCUCAAUCCAGCUCAUUAAUCCAUAUUCUUAACAUUACCCUCCUUUGCAAGUGCAUUCUUGUCCUCAAGAAUGAAAUGUAGAGAUUGCUGCAAAAUGAAAUCCCAUUCUUGAAAAGACAAGUAAUCCAAUUGAAGCAAAAGCUGCUCUACUUCUUUGCCUUUUCUCAUCAAAGUUCUUGUAUUAAGAAAUGCCAAAGGUGUAUGACACAGCGUGAAGCUCACAAAUAAAGAACAAACUUGCACACAACAGUGAAAAUUAAGAGAAUUUCUCUGUAGGAUUUUUAUUAAUUGAACUCUAAUUGAAAUACAUGUUAAUAAGGGAUAUUUAUAAAGUUUUUAGACUCAUAAACCUAAUAGGAUACGAAACUAUUAAUUAGGAAGUUUAAUAAUCCUAAAUACAUUAGGAAAAUAUAAAUAAAUAGGAAUUAAA